rnacentral:rRNA from 1 species
UACAGAGGGUGCAAGCGUUGUUCGGAAUUAUUGGGCGUAAAGCGCGUGUAGGCGGCUUGGCAAGUCCGGUGUGAAAUCCCUCAGCUUAACUGAGGAAGUGCGCCCGAAACUGCCGAGCUUGAGUACCGGAGAGGGUGGCGGAAUUCCCCAAGUAGAGGUGAAAUUCGUAGAUAUGGGGAGGAACACCGGUGGCGAAGGCGGCCACCUGGACGGAUACUGACGCUGAGACGCGAAAGCGUGGGGAGCAAACAGG